rnacentral:rRNA from 1 species
UACGGAGGGUGCAAGCGUUAUCCGGAUUCACUGGGUUUAAAGGGUGCGUAGGUGGGCAGGUAAGUCAGUGGUGAAAUCUCCGGGCUUAACCCGGAAACUGCCGUUGAUACUAUCUGUCUUGAAUGUAGUGGAGGUGAGCGGAAUAUGUCAUGUAGCGGUGAAAUGCUUAGAUAUGUCAUAGAACACCGAUUGCGAAGGCAGCUAACGAAACUAUAACUGACGCUGAGGCACGAAAGUGCGGGGAUCAAACAGG